GGCUUAACACAUGCAAGUCGAGCAGGGAAGGGUAGCUUGCUACCUGACCUAGCGGCGGACGGGUGAGUAAUGCUUAGGAAUCUGCCUAUUAGUGGGGGACAACAUUCCGAAAGGAAUGCUAAUACCGCAUACGCCCUACGGGGGAAAGCAGGGGAUCUUCGGACCUUGCGCUAAUAGAUGAGCCUAAGUCAGAUUAGCUAGUUGGUGGGGUAAAGGCCUACCAAGGCGACGAUCUGUAGCGGGUCUGAGAGGAUGAUCCGCCACACUGGGACUGAGACACGGCCCAGACUCCUACGGGAGGCAGCAGUGGGGAAUAUUGGACAAUGGGCGAAAGCCUGAUCCAGCCAUGCCGCGUGUGUGAAGAAGGCCUUUUGGUUGUAAAGCACUUUAAGCGAGGAGGAGGCUACCGAGAUUAAUACUCUUGGAUAGUGGACGUUACUCGCAGAAUAAGCACCGGCUAACUCUGUGCCAGCAGCCGCGGUAAUACAGAGGGUGCGAGCGUUAAUCGGAUUUACUGGGCGUAAAGCGUGCGUAGGCGGCUUUUUAAGUCGGAUGUGAAAUCCCUGAGCUUAACUUAGGAAUUGCAUUCGAUACUGGGAAGCUAGAGUAUGGGAGAGGAUGGUAGAAUUCCAGGUGUAGCGGUGAAAUGCGUAGAGAUCUGGAGGAAUACCGAUGGCGAAGGCAGCCAUCUGGCCUAAUACUGACGCUGAGGUACGAAAGCAUGGGGAGCAAACAGGAUUAGAUACCCUGGUAGUCCAUGCCGUAAACGAUGUCUACUAGCCGUUGGGGCCUUUGAGGCUUUAGUGGCGCAGCUAACGCGAUAAGUAGACCGCCUGGGGAGUACGGUCGCAAGACUAAAACUCAAAUGAAUUGACGGGGGCCCGCACAAGCGGUGGAGCAUGUGGUUUAAUUCGAUGCAACGCGAAGAACCUUACGUGGUCUUGACAUAGUAAGAACUUUCCAGAGAUGGAUUGGUGCCUUCGGGAACUUACAUACAGGUGCUGCAUGGCUGUCGUCAGCUUGUGUCGUGAGAUGUUGGGUUAAGUCCCGCAACGAGCGCAACCCUUUUCCUUAUUUGCCAGCGGGUUAAGCCGGGAACUUUAAGGAUUCUGCCAGUGACAAACUGGAGGAAGGCGGGGAAGACGUCAAGUCAUCAUGGCCCUUACGACCAGGGCUACACACGUGAUACAAUGGUCGGUACAAAGGGUUGGUACCUAGCGAUAGGAUGCUAAUCUCAAAAAGCCGAUCGUAGUCCGGAUUGGAGUAUGCAACUCGACUCCAUGAAGUCGGAAUCGUUAGUAAUCGCGGAUCAGAAUGUCCGCGGUGAAUACGUUCCCGGGCUUUGUACACACCGCCCGUCACACCAUGGGAAUUUGUUGCACCAGAAGUAGGUAGUCUAACCGCAAGGAGGACGCUUACCACGGUGUGGCCGAUGACUGGGGUG
rnacentral:rRNA from 1 species